rnacentral:sRNA from 1 species
AGCUUUUGUGGCCUCAGCCUACGUUCCUGAGAGCCUGGGCAGCUUGCAAGGCGAUGAUGACAAGAUCUACUUUUUCUUCAGCGAGACUGGCCAGGAAUUUGAGUUCUUUGAGAACACCAUUGUGUCCCGCAUUGCCCGCAUCUGCAAGGGCGAUGAGGGUGGAGAGCGGGUGCUGCAGCAGCGCUGGACCUCCUUCCUCAAGGCCCAGCUGCUGUGCUCACGGCCCGACGACGGCUUCCCCUUCAACGUGCUGCAGGACGUCUUCACGCUGAGCCCCAGCCCCCAGGACUGGCGUGACACCCUUUUCUAUGGGGUCUUCACUUCCCAGUGGUAGGGCCUCCAGACCUCGCUGGAGAUGGAAGGGUGAAGGGUGGCUGGGACU